AGAGUUUGAUCAUGGCUCAGAUUGAACGCUGGCGGAAUGCUUUACACAUGCAAGUCGAGCGGCAGCGCGGGGCAACCUGGCGGCGAGCGGCGAACGGGUGAGUAACACAUCGGAACGUACCCAGUGGUGGGGGAUAGCCCGGCGAAAGCCGGAUUAAUACCGCAUACGACCUGAGGGUGAAAGUGGGGGACCGCAAGGCC
rnacentral:rRNA from 1 species